GUGAAUCAUCAAAUUUUUGAACGCAAAUUGCACUCUCCUCGGAGAGUAUGCCUGUUUGAGGGUCAGCCUAUAAAAAAUCGACAUCGUUGCUGUUUUGCGGUGGCGUUCGUCGGGAAUUGGGUCAACUUAAAUCCUUUUGGUUUAAGCGACUUAAAAUUUUCUUUUAGUUAUAUGAACGUUGCUAAUAUCUAUUUCUUUACACGUUUGAGGUAUC
rnacentral:misc_RNA from 1 species